rnacentral:rRNA from 1 species
GCGAAACUGCGAAUGGCUCAUUAUAUAAGUUAUCGUUUAUUUGGCAGCUGCUCAAUACUUGGAUAACUGUGGUAAUUCUAGAGCUAAUACAUGCUGAACAUCCCGACUCCGGGAGGGAUGAAUUUAUUAGAUUAAAAACCAAUGCCCUCCGGGGCUCACGGGUGAAUCAUAAUAACUGCUCGAAUCGCAUGGCCUUGCGCCGGCGAUGCCCCAUUCAAAUUUCUUCCCUAUCAACUUUCGAUGCGAAGGUCUUGUCUUCGCAUGGUUGCAACGGGUAACGGAGGGUUAGGGCUUGAUCCCGGAGAAGGAGCCUGAGAAACGGCUACUACAUCCAAGGAAGGCAGCAGGCGCGCAAAUUACCCAAUCCCGACACGGGGAGGUAGUGACAAUAAAUACUGACACAGGGCUCUUUUGGGUCUUGUGAUUGGAAUGAGUACAAUUUAAAUCCCUUAACGAGGAACAAUUGGAGGGCAAGUCUGGUGCCAGCAGCCGCGGUAAUUCCAGCUCCAAUAGCGUAUAUUAAAGUUGUUGUGGUUAAAAAGCUCGUAGUUGAACCUUGGGCCUGGCUGGCCGGUCCCCCUCACCGGGUGCACUGAUCCAGCCGGGCCUUUCCCUCUGUGGAACCUCAUGGCCUUCACUGGUCGUGUUGGGGAGACAGGACUUUUACUUUGAAAAAAUUAGAGUGCUCCAGGCAGGCCUAUGCUCGAAUACAUUAGCAUGGAAUAAUAGAAUAGGACGUGUGGUUCUAUUUUGUUGGUUUCUAGGACCGCCGUAAUGAUUAAUAGGGACAGUCGGGGGCGUCAGUAUUCAAUUGUCAGAGGUGAAAUUCUUGGAUCUAUUGAAGACUAACUACUGCGAAAGCAUUCGCCAAGGAUGUUUUCAUUGAUAAGGAACGAAAGUUAGGGGAUCGAAGACGAUCAGAUACCGUCGUAGUCUUAACUAUAAACUAUGCCGACUAGGGAUCAGACGAUGUUAUUCAUUGACUCGUUUGGCACCUUUCGAGAAAUCAAAGUGCUUGGGCUCCAGGGGGAGUAUGGUCGCAAGGCUGAAACUUAAAGAAAUUGACGGAAGGGCACCACCAGGGGUGGAACCUGCGGCUUAAUUUGACUCAACACGGGGAAACUCACCAGGUCCAGACACAGUGAGGAUUGACAGAUUGAGAGCUCUUUCUUGAUUCUGUGGGUGGUGGUGCAUGGCCGUUCUUAGUUGGUGGAGUGAUUUGUCUGCCUAAUCGCGAUAACGAACGAGACCUUAACCUGCUAAAUAGCCCAGAUUACCCUGGUAGUCUGCCGGCUUCUUAGAGGGACUAUCGGCUCAAGCCGAUGGAAGUUUGAGGCAAUAACAGGUCUGUGAUGCCCUUAGAUGUCCUGGGCCGCACGCGCGUUACACUGACAGAGCCAGCGAGUAUUUCCUUGGCCGAAAGGCCCGGGUAAUCUUGUCAAACUCUGUCGUGCUGGGGAUAG